rnacentral:rRNA from 1 species
CGUACACUCCUGCGGGAGGCAGCAGUGGGGAAUUUUGGACAAUGGGCGAAAGCCUGAUCCAGCCAUGCCGCGUGCAGGAUGAAGGCCUUCGGGUUGUAAACUGCUUUUGUACGGAACGAAACGGCCUUUUCUAAUAAAGAGGGCUAAUGACGGUACCGUAAGAAUAAGCACCGGCUAACUACGUGCCAGCAGCCGCGGUAAUACGUAGGGUGCAAGCGUUAAUCGGAAUUACUGGGCGUAAAGCGUGCGCAGGCGGUUAUGUAAGACAGUUGUGAAAUCCCCGGGCUCAACCUGGGAACUGCAUCUGUGACUGCAUAGCUAGAGUACGGUAGAGGGGGAUGGAAUUCCGCGUGUAGCAGUGAAAUGCGUAGAUAUGCGGAGGAACACCGAUGGCGAAGGCAAUCCCCUGGACCUGUACUGACGCUCAUGCACGAAAGCGUGGGGAGCAAACAGGAUUAGAAACCCUAGUAGUCCCA